CGACCCUCAAGCCCACAGCGGCUUGGUGUUGGGGUGAUUCUACGGCUUUGCCGUAGGCCCCGAAAUCCAGUGGCGGGCCUGACGAGACCCCGAGCGCAGUAAUUUCUCUCGCUUUGGGCGUCGCGGCGGGCGACUAGCCGUAAAAACCACAGGCGCCCUUGUGGCCCUGUAACACACCAA
rnacentral:misc_RNA from 1 species